UGGUAGCAAUACCGAGAGAAGUUUAGUGGCGAACGGGUGCGUAACACGUGGGCAAUCUGCCGAGAAGUGGGGGAUAGCUCGCCGAAAGGCGAAUUAAUACCGCAUAUGAUCAGGGAAGACAUCUUUCCAACAUCAAAGCCGGGGCAACCUGGCGCUUCUUGAUGAGCCCGCGGCCUAUCAGCUAGUUGGUGAGGUAACGGCCCACCAAGGCGAUGACGGGUAGCUGGUCUGAGAGGACGACCAGUCACACUGGAACUGAGACACGGUCCAGACACCUACGGGUGGCAGCAGUCGAGAAUUUUUCUCAAUGGGGGAAACCCUGAAGGAGCGACGCCGCGUGGAGGAUGAAGGCUUUCGGGUUGUAAACUCCUGUCAUUUGGGAACAAUGCUUUCCAGUUAACUGUUGGAAAGUUGAUAGUACCAGAAGAGGAAGAGACGGCUAACUCUGUGCCAGCAGCCGCGGUAAUACAGAGGUCUCGAGCGUUGUUCGGAUUCAUUGGGCGUAAAGGGUGCGUAGGUGGCGUGGUAAGUCGGGUGUGAAAUUUCGGAGCUUAACUCCGAAACUGCAUUCGAUACUGCUGUGCUUGAGGACUGGAGAGGAGACUGGAAUUCACGGUGUAGCA
rnacentral:rRNA from 1 species